UACGUAGGGGGCCAGCGUUGUUCGGAAUUACUGGGUGUAAAGGGUUCGUAGGUGGUGCGGCAAGUUGGGAGUGAAAUCUCUGGGCUUAACCCAGAGGCUGCUUCCAAAACUGCUGUGCUUGAGUGUGGGAGAGGCGCGUGGAAUUGCAGGUGUAGCGGUGAAAUGCGUAGAUAUCUGCAGGAACACCCGUGGCGAAAGCGGCGCGCUGGACCACUACUGACGCUGAGGAACGAAAGCUAGGGGAGCAAACAGG
rnacentral:rRNA from 1 species